UCUGGGCUGGAGCUGGGCGUCGCUGGGGUAAACAUCCUUUGCACUUAGUCUCCGCCUGCUGGUUGGGAGGGGGCUCUAAUGUCAGGUCACAGGCACUCGUAGGGCGGGUUCCUUUCUGCCUGCCUGGGCUGGGUCGGGCGCUGGCAGCACAGCCAUUCAAGCGCUUGUUUUCCUUGUGAACAAAAGCCGCACUCCCAGCUGUGGCGCCAAAUUCUAGCUCGUACUGCGGAGUAAACUGGCAGCUCGAGAGCUGGGCUGGGAGGCCAGGCUGGCUGUGCCAAUCGAGGCUCUGGCUGUCUGCGCCCCUCUUGUUUACAGGCCGCUGGCGGGCACGAGGUACCCCCAAAACCCGGACACGGAACAGCUCGGAGCGGGCGAGCGCCCCAGCAGAAAAGAGAAAGCAAGAGGAAUCCGAGCUGCAACCCCAGCCAUCAGCCUGCUAGCAGUUCCCCUGGCAAGUGCUUCCUGACUUCCUGUCAUCAUCUCUGAUAGCAGGGAGACAGUAAUAGAGACGUGUCCCCUUAUCUCCGUGAGAUCAGGGACCACUGAAGUCCUCCAACCUCUUCCAGGUUCUCUGAGUGACAAAAAGCUUGAAAUGGAGGCCUCAGAAAUGGCUGUUGCCCACCGUGUGUCAAGAAGCAGCAGGACAUGAGGUUUUGUGUGAAAAGACAAGAAAUUCAGAAUAUAAGAAAAGUGAUGUUCCUAGGAACAGAGGUGACACCUGGAUUUGCCUUAGAUGACGCACAGCGAGCAAAUAUUUGUUGGUAUACAUACUGGACUCUGUGAGGGUGAAAAGUGGGCAACUGGCUUCAUCUGAACAUUUUUCAGGUACAUGUAAAAAUACUUCAUCUGUGGAGCCCCAAAGUUAAAGAUUUAAGAAUCACUGUGGAUCAGAAGAAACCAGAAAAGUGAUGGUCAAUUGUCAGUGAUUAUAGAGCUAUGAGUGACACUUGCUCCAAGGCCCACCUUGUCUCUGCUGAUCAGCACUGUCAACCAGCAUAGCCAGAGCAGACCAGACAGCAGAAGGGAGCAAUUUCUACCUACAGGAAGGAGAUCAGGUCCAUUGUAUAUGUCUUGAUUUAUUUCAUGUUGUGUUCCAUGUCCUUCUUAAGUUUUUUAAAAAAUUUUAUUUUUA